rnacentral:tRNA from 1 species
GUGCCUAUGGUGUAAUGGUCAGCACUGCUCCCUGUGGAGGAGCCAGACUGGGUUCGAAUCCCAGUAGGCACC